UGAUUCCGAGGGGCCGAGGGGCCGAGGGGGCGGGGCCGGGCGCGCGCGGCAGAGGGCCUUUCCUUCAGCGGCCCGCGGUUGCCGCCGUCGACCGUGGCUCCCGCUGGCGGCUGUUUGCACCAAUCCCUGCCCGCCCCGUGGGGCCUGAACUCCUGACCCCGGGAGGCGGCGUGGCCUGCUCUGCGGCCGACCCCGGGCGCCCUCGCCGCCGUCGGAGGCCCGUCACGUGCUCCGGUGCAGCCUGAAUUCUGGAAGGAUGAUUGGCUACGACUUCGAUCCAGCGAGCGGUGAGCGGUGGGAAGGGACACGCAGGUGUGACUGACGAGAGGAUCCUCCCCAGAUAUUCUAGUCCUGGCCGGCCCUGUGAAGGAAUAAAAAUAGUGCCAGAAUGGAACCAAAGACCACUGAUUGAAUUCAGAGUUUGAAAGGAAGUGAGCCAAGAGAGAAAGAUCAACAUUACAAUUCUUAUUUGGUCUACCACUUGCCAUCUGCUCCACUUCACUGACUCACCUCAUGGCCCCAAACUGGGGCAGCACCAUUACUUCUGUUCCCCUUAACCAUCUUGAUUAAACUAUGUAAAAUCUA